GAUGAACGCUAGCGGCAGGCUUAAUACAUGCAAGUCGAGGGGCAGCAUGAUUGUAGCAAUACAAUUGAUGGCGACCGGCAAACGGGUGCGGAACACGUACACAACCUUCCAAUAAGUGGGGAAUAGCCCAGAGAAAUUUGGAUUAAUACCCCGUAACAUAACGAUGUGGCAUCACAUUGUUAUUAUAGAUUUUUCGCUUAUUGAUGGGUGUGCGGCUGAUUAGAUAGUUGGCGGGGUAACGGCCCACCAAGUCUACGAUCAGUAGCUGAUGUGAGAGCAGGAUCAGCCACACGGGCACUGAGACACGGGCCCGACUCCUACGGGAGGCAGCAGUAAGGAAUAUUGGACAAUGGACGCAAGUCUGAUCCAGCCAUGCCGCGUGAAGGAUUAAGGUCCUCUGGAUUGUAAACUUCUUUUAUAAGGGACGAAAAAAGGCUUUUCUAAGUCGUCUGACGGUACCUUAUGAAUAAGCACCGGCUAACUCCGUGCCAGCAGCCGCAGUAAUAC
rnacentral:rRNA from 1 species